rnacentral:rRNA from 1 species
GGGUCUAAGUGGGGAAGAGGAGCAACGAAAGUCGGCCGAACGGGAGGAGGGAGGGGUCAGAGGGGAGCAGCGGUUGGGGCGGUGGCGGCGGCGUCAACGGCUUUGGGCGGCGGGUCAGGCGGUGGGGCUCUCUUCCUCCAAGAGAGGAAGUAGCGGGGAGGCAGGAGAGGAGGCGGCCCGAGCGCCCCUCGCUUCUAGGCGGGCCUGUGCCGAGGAGAACGACUAAAGCCCCCAACAAGAGAACGGCGCCGCUCAAAACUCCUACUACUCGAUUCUUCCAUAUCGAGCACGUUCGGCGGCGGGGAAACAACAAAGACUAUUUGGCGACUCGUCCGCUCUCAGAACGAACUCCACCAUCACUCUCUACCUACGUCACAGGCUCCAACGCCUACGGUACCCACGUAACCCGCAACUGUUACCCCGCUCGGUCUUUAAAGACGGGUUUCUGUCAGGUCUGUCGCUUCUCAACCGGCUACACCGCGAAAGACCGCUCUCACUCCACUAGUUAGGUGGACUUCUCCACCCACCCCUUCGGUGGAGCGGUAGCCUCCUGUAUUUUAGCGUUGGCCUCCUGUAUGUCCGGUCCCAAGGGUUCCCUUCGGUCUCGGCAAGGGGAUUCCAAUGGUUUAGUGUCGCGGUCUCGGGCGCCUCGCCGCUAUUCUCAGUUCGAUUCUUUUUGUGAGGCUCAAGAAACAGGUGCUUCCGUGGAUAACGUGCUCAAAGACUAGGUCUAAAUCAACUAUCGAGAAGUUCGUUACCACUACGACUACAAUUCUUUUUCCGCCUCUUCUCGUUAAGAGCUGGUCAACGAUUCCUCUCGAACAGCGACCUCCUAAGUUUCCUCUUCUCCUUUUGAGUCUUUCGUAGAUUGGUUGCACAACAUUUUUUACUACUUCUUAGAUUAACACUUUCUCAUUUUGGAGUCUUCCAACCGUCGUGGGGAAGUAUACCCAAACGUAAGUUUACGUUACUCUCUCGACUUUUCUCUUCCCUCAAGAUGAGCUUCGAGCUCCUCUUCUAGGUACGUGUCCUUAACCUCUUUUUGUUGUACGUCCGUUUUAGUUUCCUUUACCUUCUUCGACUUGAGUCCGUCGAUGCCUUUUCAAACUUAAAGUUCCGUCGUGGCUACGGGUCGAAAAUAUUCCUUGGUGGUCGAGGGUUCUAACUCAACUUCUUCCAGGGAUGGUGGUCUGGAGCUAGUGGUUUCGAACCAGCGAGUUUCUUGUGUUGAAGUCGUCCGUGUCGUCAUUCAUGGUUAGGAAGUUCGGCAGGUCAAGCAGACUCGGAGCUGGUUUCCCGGAGGGUUUUGUCGGGGUUCCGUCGUGGACGAGGCUUCUUCAGGGUUGCCUUUAGAGAGGGGUUUAACGGCAGUCUCGUCUGUCCAAGACAACUGUAACGUUGAAGCUAUAGAAGACGUCUUGUCGAUCUUUAAUCGUUCAGUUGACGUUGACGUCUAGGGUAGGCCUGCGGUUAGGCACGAGUUCAAUGAGGUCUGCUGGUACACGAGUUGCGUAUCUUUUGUCAGAACUCAGGUCAGAAAGCCUUUCGACUCUCAGUACGGAGUCGGAGGGUACAGACGUAAAAACAGUAAACCCAUCAUUUGAACACCGACCAUAGUACACGAACUUAAUCACACUAGUGGACCUCAAACUUCGUACCGUUCGUCGGUUACAUGACAAAUAGAAGAGUCAAACACAACAAAAAGUUUGUCAUGUUCCCUCACCACAAUAAACAUCAAUCAUUGUAAACGUAUACUGAUGGAACAUAAAGGUUCGGCGCUCUGAAGAAAAAGGACGUACUCAAAAGGGAAAAGAAGAAAAUGACGUUUUAAACACGGUUAAAACGAUACUUGAACCACGUAAGUCACAUUAAAACACAAGACAAGGAUGUACCUUCUACCUAGACGAAGAC